AGUUAAAUAUGAGAGUUAAAUAGUUCUAGUUUUGAAAAUGUGAGAUCGAAAAGGCAAGAAACCAGGCUUUCCUACUGUCUCACAUAAUUUCUUACACAAAAUCAUUUUACAGAGAGAAACUGAGACUCUGAAAAGGUUAAUAUCCAACACAGGUAUUAAGCACCUUCCAGAUGUUCACAAGAUUCAUUCUCUCCAAAAAGUUUUACUUGACAUUCAAGAUAACAUAAACAUCCACACAAUUGAAAGAAAUUCUUUCGUGGGGCUGAGCUUUGAAAGUGUGAUUCUAUGGCUGAAUAAGAAUGGGAUUCAAGAAAUACACAACUGUGCAUUCAAUGGAACCCAACUAGAUGAGCUGAAUCUAAGCGAUAAUAAUAAUUUAGAAGAAUUGCCUAAUGAUGUUUUCCAUGGAGCCUCUGGACCAGUCAUUCUAGAUAUUUCAAGAACAAGGAUCCAUUCCCUGCCUAGCUAUGGCUUAGAAAAUCUUAAGAAGCUGAGGGCCAGGUCGACUUACAACUUAAAAAAGCUGCCUACUCUGGAAAAGCUUGUCG
rnacentral:sRNA from 1 species